rnacentral:rRNA from 2 species
CCCAGUUCAGGGAGGUAGUGACAAUAAAUACCUUACAGAGGUCUCGUUAACCGAGAUCUCUCAAACGGAAUGAGUACAACGUGAAUCCUUUAACGAGGAUCGACUGGAGGGCAAGCCUGGUGCCAGCAGCCGCGGUAAUUCCAGCUCCAGUAGCGUACAUUAAAGCUGUUGCGGUUAAAAAGCUCGUAGUUGGAUAUCAGUGCGUGUCCGGUCCGGUAUGCCUGGCGCUGUCGCUCGCGCGGCAAUGCUGGGCUCCCAAAUAUCGGCUGGCCGCAUUUAAUCGUGCCGGACCCGUCGGCGGGCCGCUCUUCGGAGGGGCCUGCUGGCGGCCGGCGACGUUACCUUGAACAAAUUAGAGUGCUCAAAGCAGGCUCUGUAUGCCUGUAUACAUAUUCAUGGAAUUGGAGAAUACGUCCCUGGCUCGAUUUGGUUGGUUUUGAGAGUCGAAGGGAAAUGAUUAAUAGGGACUGACGGAGGCAUUCGUAUUGCGACGCGAGGGGUGAAAUCCUGUGACCGUCGCACGACGAACUACUGCGAAAGCAUUUGCCGAGAAUGUUUUCAUUAGUCAAGAACGAAAGUUAGAGGUUCGAAGGCGAUCAGAUACCGCCCUAGUUCUAACCGUAAACGAUGUCGACCAGCAAUCCGCAACGGUCACUACACGGACUGUGCGGGCAGCUUCCCCGGGGAAACCAGAGUUUUUGGACUCCGGGGGAAGUAUGGUUGCAAAGCUGAAACUUAAAGGAAUUGACGGAAGGGCACCACCAGGAGUGGAGCUUGCGGCUUAAUUUGACUCAACACGGGACAACUCACCAGGCCCGGACACCGUAAGGAUUGACAGACUGAUAGCUCUCUCUUGAUUCAGUGGGUGGUGGUGCAUGGCCGUUCUUAGUUGGUGGAGUGAUUUGUCUGGUUUAUUCCGAUAACGAACGAGACUCUGGCCUAUUAAACUUGACGUUGUCAGUCUCUUGUGACUGCGGCGCGCUUCUUAGAGGGAUCAUCGGCGUCCCAGCCGAAGGAAAGGGAGCAAUAACAGGUCUGUGAUGCCCUUAGAUGUUCUGGGCUGCACGCGUGUUACACUGAAGUGGUCAGCGCGCCGUUCAACACCCCUCUCCGUGAGGAGCUUGGGCAAACGUUUGAACCCUUUUCGUGAUGGGAAUUGGGGGUUGCAAUUG